rnacentral:rRNA from 1 species
UACGUAGGGCGCAAGCGUUAUCCGGAAUUAUUGGGAGUAAAGAGCUCGUAGGCGGUUUGUCGCGUCUGCCGUGAAAGUCCGGGGCUCAACUCCGGAUCUGCGGUGGGUACGGGCAGACUAGAGUGAUGUAGGGGAGACUGGAAUUCCUGGUGUAGCGGUGAAAUGCGCAGAUAUCAGGAGGAACACCGAUGGCGAAGGCAGGUCUCUGGGCAUUAACUGACGCUGAGGAGCGAAAGCAUGGGGAGCGAACAGG